rnacentral:rRNA from 1 species
UACGGAGGGAGCUAGCGUUAUUCGGAAUUACUGGGCGUAAAGCGCACGUAGGCGGCUUUGUAAGUAAGAGGUGAAAGCCCAGAGCUCAACUCUGGAAUUGCCUUUUAGACUGCAUCGCUAGAAUCGUGGAGAGGUAAGUGGAAUUCCGAGUGUAGAGGUGAAAUUCGUAGAUAUUCGGAAGAACACCAGUGGCGAAGGCGACUUACUGGACACGUAUUGACGCUGAGGUGCGAAAGCGUGGGGAGCAAACAGG